GACGAACGCUGGCGGCGUGCUUAACACAUGCAAGUCGAACGAGACGAUUGAAAGCUUGCUUUUGAAAGUCGAGUGGCAAACGGGUGAGUAACGCGUAGACAACCUGCCUUUGAGAUGGGGACAACAGUCCGAAAGGACUGCUAAUACCGAAUGUUGUGGAACUUCCGCAUGGAAGCUUCACCAAAGAUGACCUCUUCCUGAAAGUUAUCGCUCAAAGAUGGGUCUGCGUCUGAUUAGCUAGUUGGUGGGCAACGGCCUACCAAGGCGACGAUCAGUAGCCGGUCUGAGAGGAUGAACGGCCACAUUGGAACUGAGACACGGUCCAGACUCCUACGGGAGGCAGCAGU
rnacentral:rRNA from 1 species